UGGGCUGUGGCUCAGUGGCAGAGCCCUUGCCUAGCAUGUGUGAGGCACUGGGUUCGAUCCUCAGCUGUCCAU
rnacentral:tRNA from 1 species